UUUUAAGCACUUUGCUCUAGUCAUAUCUAUAAACUUUAUUAAUAAAUUAGCAAAUGAACAUUUCUUGUAACCAUUUUGAGGAGAACAGGUUGGUAUAAUGAUAAGUGUUUACCGACUAAAAUGGGCAAAAUAUAUGGACUUCAAGAGGCAUUUAAACCAUAACCUUGCAUUGUAAAGAAAUCAUUUUCAGACUCUAACGUGAUGAAAAAAAUAUCCUAUGUUUAUCUUAUGUUUAUACCCUUGCUACAAAAAAAAUAAUUGUUAAGGUAAUUGUAUAAAUUACAUACACG